CUAGUUAGAUAUGAGGUGCUUU
rnacentral:siRNA from 1 species